AUCGCUUCUCGGCCUUUUGGCUAAGAUCAAGUGUAGUAUCUGUUUAUCAGUUUAACAGUGAUACGUCUACGGACCAAUUUCUUAUUUGUUUCUUUUCCCUUUUAAAAUGGGGCUUGCACGUGAUGGAAGAUUACCCAGUAUUGGUUUCGCAUCACCCUUU
rnacentral:snRNA from 1 species